rnacentral:lncRNA from 10 species
CAGCGGGGGUGGGAGCUGCGGACGGCCAUGUGCGCGGCGGAGAGGCCGGGUGGCCACCGAACCUUCCCGCCUGUUCUGCGGUGGGUAGGAGUUUGGAAACUAAUGUUCCUGUGCUAACCUUCGUGUCUCUGUGACAUGACUGUUGAAAGACGGAGAGUGCGGAAUCUUUGGAGUUUUAAGCUUGCCAACUGUGCGGCCUAGCAGAAUCCUGGGAGACGGAAGGACAGCCAAGAGGCUAGGAUUUACCUUUAAGUGUCCCUAGAUUCAACUAGGCAGACUGGGACGGGAGACGCUGUGAAGGUACCAGGGAAGGAACGAGUGAGGUUCCUUUUCCACUUUUUCAUAAACUCAACAGUCAGGUUCAUGACGAAGAUAUAGAUAUUUCUGUAGAUUUUUUCCCCAACAUUCUAAUUAUGCCUCAUGUUUCGUAGAUCCUAGUAACUGCUUGGAUUACUGCCACCUCAGAGGUAGAGAUCUGUUUUUCCGUGGCUGGAAUGCCAAAAAUUUUGUUGUAUUUUAUUAAGAAAGUAGCAAAAGUUUGGAGAUUUGCAAAGUUAAAAAAAAAAAAAGCAUUAUGAACUUAAUCUAGAUGUGAUUUGCUAAGGAACUUAAUAUAUUGAUAUGUUUUUCACAGGGGCGUCUGGGCAUGGCUUUCCCAACCUAGUAACUGCAACUUUUAGCAUCCUACAUGUAGGACUUGGGAAUAUGUGAGACAGCGCCAAGAAUUUAAUCCAGGAGAAUUGACAAGCUUAAAUGAAAUCCAUAUUGCCCACUGAUUUUGUGCAGCUUCAGAUAAGUAAUCUUUCUCCACUUAGCCUUUUGUAACAAUUGAUGUAAUAAAGGUUUGUAGUCUUUGUGUAAUUUAUUAAAGCAUUGUGCCUAAAAUAGAAAAAAAGCAUAGGAACCAUAGGCU